UACGUAGGGUGCAAGCGUUGUCCGGAAUUAUUGGGCGUAAAGAGCUCGUAGGCGGUUUGUCGCGUCUGCUGUGAAAAUCCAGGGCUUAACCCUGGGCCUGCAGUGGGUACGGGCAGACUGGAGUGCGGUAGGGGAGAUCGGAAUUCCUGGUGUAGCGGUGAAAUGCGCAGAUAUCAGGAGGAACACCGGUGGCGAAGGCGGAUCUCUGGGCCGUAACUGACGCUGAGGAGCGAAAGCAUGGGGAGCGAACAGG
rnacentral:rRNA from 1 species